AAGAGAGUAGCCAAGUGGUAAGGCGCAGUUCUUAAAAAACUGUCAUCGGUGGUUCGAACCCACCCUUUCUAA
rnacentral:tRNA from 1 species